UACGUAGGGUGCAAGCGUUAUCCGGAAUUAUUGGGCGUAAAGAGCUCGUAGGCGGUUUGUCGCGUCGGGAGUGAAAACUCAGGGCUUAACCCUGAGCCUGCUUCCGAUACGGGCAGACUAGAGGUAUGCAGGGGAGAACGGAAUUCCUGGUGUAGCGGUGAAAUGCGCAGAUAUCAGGAGGAACACCGGUGGCGAAGGCGGUUCUCUGGGCAUUACCUGACGCUGAGGAGCGAAAGUGUGGGGAGCGAACAGG
rnacentral:rRNA from 1 species